UACGAGGGGAGCAAGCGUUGUUCGGAUUUACUGGGCGUAAAGGGCGCGUAGGCGGCCACGACAAGUCACUUGUGAAAUCUCCGGGCUUAACUCGGAAAGGUCAAGUGAUACUGUCGGGCUAGAGUACAGAAGGGGCAACUGGAAUUCUCGGUGUAGCGGUGAAAUGCGUAGAUAUCGAGAGGAACACCUGCGGCGAAGGCGGGUUGCUGGGCUGAUACUGACGCUGAUGCGCGAAAGCGUGGGUAGCAAACAGG
rnacentral:rRNA from 1 species